CUCGGCAGGUUCAGACAAGGUCUCACUCACUGAUCUCCUGUGUAUUUUCAGAUCUGACCAAUGAUGGCUAAUCAUGAGUUAACUGAUGGUUCAGUGCCCAGUAGAUCCAGGCCUGUUUAUAUUGGAAGCACACCCCAAACAUUACCUGGUGCCUUGCCAUGAAAAGUCAUGGGAAUGAGCACAGCUUCUGGAUUGAUGUUUUGGUUUGAAGGGGAAUGUGUGCACAUGCUCAGAUCCUGCUGUGACUAAAGAUUAAACUUCCUGAAAACUCUCAUUCCCUUUUAUUGUCUUCAACUUUGAAACCUGUACAUCUUGUAAUGAAUUAAUUUUUAAAGUGUUAAAUAAAAGCUGCAUGACUUAA